rnacentral:lncRNA from 1 species
UUUUUCAUCAAUUAAUUUAGUAAAACUUCAUAUUCUUCCUAAAUCAAAAGACAAACCACAAUAAAAUCGUUAGUCUAGAGAAACGGAGACAACAAAGGUUCCAAACCUCUCUGACCAUCAUUAUAUGUUAAUUUAUGAUACAACUAUGUAUUAAAGUAGUAUUUUCAUAUUUUUUGAAUUUUUCUCAAAAUCUAUGCGUCAACCCUUACAAAAUAUUAAGUUUUUCGGUAAAUGGUUAAUAUACUGAAGCCUAACC